GGGCCCGUGGUAUAGUGGCAACACACGUCUAUGGCAUAGACGAAUCAGGAGUUCGAAUCUCCUCGGGUCCACAA
rnacentral:tRNA from 2 species